rnacentral:lncRNA from 1 species
AAAUUAUGUGGAUAAAUGACAUCGACCAUUAAUUUUCCAAGUCGGAGAUCAUGUGUACCUGAAAGAUCACCAAUGAAGGGUGUUAGUCGAUUCGGGGUUAAAGGAAACUUAGCACCCCGAUACAUUGGCCCGUUUCUUAUUCUUGAACGAUGUGGGCAGGUUGCGUAUAGACUUCGGUUGCCAGAAUCACUGUCUAUUGUGCGUAAUGUGUUCCACAUAUCUCAAUUAAAUAAGUGUCUUUCGAUUCCUGAUCGAACUAUAGAUGUGGCUGAUGUUAAUUUGGAACCGGACUUAACCUACUCAGAACAUCCCGUUCGAGUUUUAGAUCAGAAAGACCGAAUUACUCAAAGAAGGACUCUCAAGUUUUACAAAGUGUAGUGGGACCAACACCCAGAAGAAGAAGCAACAUGGGAAUCUGAAGAUUUCUUAGAAAAACAUUUUCCCAAGUUCUUAGCCUCCCGUAAUCUUUAAAAUUUAUGUACUUUGUUGUAAAGUUAGAACAAACCCCCACACCCACCCCUUGCUUUGUACGAGAAAAUUGGAAGUAAAGUUGUGACGUGUUUCCUUUUCCAUUACUUACCCUAGAGCCUUAAAUCUCGGGACGAGAUUCUUUUAUGGGGGGAAGGAUGUAACACCCCUAGUGUUACCACAACUAAAACUUGGGCAUGGCAUCAUAUGCAUUGGCAUCUCAUUAUGCAUGUUACAUCUAGAGUGCAUCCACUAGGCUAAAAUCUCAAAACAAGCUUGUGAUGUGAUGACUUGACUUGAUUAAAGAGGUCUUUGACCCUAGGAUAGGGUACCUUCCCAAGGAUUAGAAGCAUGUGGGUGUGUGAGAUGAGAAUUAGAGUAUGAUCCUAAAAGUUAGUAAAAAUGUUCAAGAAAGACUAAACUUAGAGAGUUUAAGUGCCACAAAACCCUAGAAUACUCAAAACCCUAAUAGAGACCCUAAAAAACUAAUUGGUGCUCUAUAAGGUGACUUCAAUUUCUAUGCACUUUUGGACCUGUUGGGGGUCUGCUUCGUCACCGAAGGUCCCAUAAGAAGAAACACCUUCGAAAGAUGGACACAAAGCCGAAGCUAUCAAUCAAAGAGCUUCGGAGUAUAUUUUCAGAUGCACCGACUUAAAGAUGAAAUGACCAAUCAGCCCAUGAUAGCUUGUAUUAUGAUUGUAAUCAUUUGUAAAGGGCACGAAUGUAAUCUCUCAUAGGCUGCGUCCUGUGCCUAUAAAUAGAUGAACAGUACCCCUGUACUGUUCACACGAUCUUGUAUUCGGUCGUGCGCAACGCUCGGAUUUUCACCUUCUGUCAAACCGAAGGUACAAAUGUAAUUAAAAUAUUGUCUUUAUAUUUAUCCAAGUUUACAUAAUGAAGAUAUAUGGAUGAUGUUAUAUGAUUAUUCACAUUAUCUUUCAUAUUUCGUAUGCUUUGUCUUUCAUUAAUGUAUACCGUGAUGAUGAAGGUACGUCCUUCAUGACCUUCGUCCGAAGAUGGUUAUAUCCUAAGGGAAAUAAUGCUUCGAAGGACAUUAACAUUUAAUACUUCGUGUUGCCUUGUUCUUAACUCAUAGCAUUUGAGAACAAGUCCCCAACAUUGGCGCCCACCUCUGGUGAACUCACUUCCACUUUUGAGCUGCUGGCUUCGUUCAACAAUCAAGCUGAAGUUGCUUCGGCUACGAAGCUGGUGCUCCCGAUAACAGGCGGUUCAUGCUCAGAACCGGCCAACAAGAAGCAGAAGGAGGCUCAGAGAAGGGUGCAACAUGUUGGGGUGCAGGGACCCUUCAUCAAGUCAAGAUGGUCCCACAUCCCAAUCACCUUCUCCCAGGAGGACCUUCAGCUCAAGGAUUACCCUCAUAAUGAUGCUAUGGUCAUAUCUUAUGUCAUCAAGGGAUUUCUGGUUCACAAUGUUCUGGUUGAUACAGGCAGUGCAGCGGAUAUCAUAUUUGCCAAGGCCUUCAGACAGAUGCAAGAGCUAGAGGACAAGAUUCAUGAUGCUACACACCCUCUUUAUGGCUUCGGAGGAAGACAGAUUGUAGCACUUGGCAAGAUCACAAUGCCAGUGACCUUUGGAUUUGUCCACAAUACAAGGACUGAACAUGUUGUGUUUGAUAUUGUUGACAUGGAAUACCCCUACAAUGCAAUCAUUGGUCGUGAGACACUUAAUGCUUUCGAAGCAAUUCUUCGUCCAGCAUAUCUAUGCAUGAAGAUACCUUCGGAACAAGGGCCUAUUGCUAUUCAUGGAAGUCAGGAAGCUGCCAGAAAGGUUGAGGGAAAUUGGACAGACUCAAAAGCGAUCCACAAUAUAGAUGGAGCUGAAGCUUGUGAACAGUACAAGUACAGAAGAGAGAAGGCUGCUUCGGCCGAUCAGCCGAAGCCCAUGCUUCUAUGUGAAGACGUAGCAGAGCAGAAGGUAUUGCUGAGGUCUCAAUUAUCUAAAGAGCAGGAGAAAACUUUGAUAAGGUUUUUAUUCAACAACAAAGAUAUUUUUGCAUGGUCGGCCAAUGAUCUCUGUGGUGUCAACAGGGACGUCAUUGAACAUUCACUCAAUGUCGAUCCAUCCUUCAGGCCCAGAAGGCAAAGGCUUCGGAAAAUGUCUGAUGAUAAAGCUGAAGGUGCUCGGAGUGAAGUAAAAAGACUUCUCAGUGCUGGUGUUAUCAGAGAGGUAAAAUAUCCAGAGUGGCUAGCCAAUACUGUUAUGGUGAAGAACGCCAAUGGCAAAUGGAGAAUGUGUAUUGACUUCACAAAUCUUAACAAGGCCUGUCCAAAGGACAAGUUUCCAUUACCAAGAAUAGACUCUCUUGUAGAUGUAGCAGCUUCUUCAGAGCUUAUGAGUCUGCUGGAUUGCUACUCCGGAUAUCAUCAGAUAUGGAUGAAGAAGGAGGAUGAGCCGAAGACUAGCUUCAUAACUCCCAAUGGUACCUAUUGUUAUCUUCGGAUGCCUGAGGGGCUCAAGAAUGCUGGAGGAAGCUUCAGCAGAAUGACGACCAAGGUCCUUCACUAUCAGAUAGGCAGAAAUGUGCUAACAUACGUUGAUGAUAUCAUAGUAAAAAGCACGAAUCAAGAAAAUCAUAUUACUGAUUUGCAGGAAACAUUUGCUAAUUUUAGGCAAGCUGGCCUGAAAUUAAAUCCAGAAAAAUGUGUCUUUGGAGUGAAGAAGGGAAAGUUCCUUGGCUGUCUAGUUUCAACGAAGGGGAUCGAAGCUAACCCAAGCAAGAUCGAAGCUAUCCUUCGGAUGGAGCCGCCAAGCACAAAGAAGAGGGCCCAAAGGCUGACAGGAAGACUAGCAUCUUUGAAUCGAUUUAUAUCUAGAUUAGCAGAAAGAAACUUACCAUUCUUUGAAGUACUAAAGUCAGCCGAAGUUUUUCAAUGGGGCCCAGCUCAACAGAAAGCCUUUGAAGAGCUGAAGCAAUACUUGAUUGAUCUAACAACAUUAACUCCACCUAUGUCAGGGGCUCCAUUGCUAUUGUAUGUGGCAGCUUCACACUCUGUAGUGAGUGCGGCGCUUGUACAGGAGAAGCUUGAAGGACAAACUAAAAAGCAAGUCCAAGUAUACUUCGUCUCCAAAGUCCUAAGUUUAUCAAAGAAAAACUAUACAGAAUUGGAGAAGGUGUUGUAUGCUGUGCUAAUGGCAUCCAGGAAGCUUCGACAUUAUUUUCAAGCAUACCACAUAAUUGUUCCUUCAUCACAGCCUCUGAAGGAUAUUAUGAGGAACAGAGAAGCUACUGGAAGGAUUGGAAAGUGGGCCGCGGAGCUUAAUGAAUUCACCAUUGACUACGUGCAUAGAUCUUCAAUCCAAUCCCAAGCGUUAGCAGAUUUCAUCGCUGAUUGGACGCCAGGGGCUCACAAAGAAGAAAUAAGCAAAGAUACCGAAGCAUGGACAGUGUUCUGCGAUGGUUCUUGGGGAACCUUCGGUGCAGGAGCAGCUGCGGUCCUAGUGGCACCUUCAAAAGUCAAAACAUGUUAUGCAGCCAAAUUGGAUUUCAGUUGCACAAAUAAUAUUGCUGAGUACGAAGCACUUCUGUUGGGGCUUCGGAAGUUAAGGGCAAUGGGAAUAAGAAGGGCCAUCCUAAAGACUGACUCUCAAGUUAUUUCUGGCCAUGUGGACAAAAGUAGCAAGGCAAGAGAUCGGAAGCUUGAAAGAUAUCUGGAUACAGUUCGAAGGUUGGAGGCUUCUUUCGAAGGUUUUUCUGUCAAGAAUAUUCCAAGAGGUGAAAAUGAGCAUGCAAAUUUGCUAGCCAAAUCGGCGGCUUAGGGGCUCCCUUGACCUUUGAAGUAUUUUUUGAAACAAUAAAAGCACCUUCGGUUGAACUCAUGGAGAGAGCAGUACUUACUAUUUCUCUAGUACACAGUGAAGAUUGGAGGACUGAAAUUAUAUCUUUCCUCCAAGGCAAUUGUCUUUCAAGUGAUGAAGCUUAUAACAAGAGAAUGGAGGCAAGGACAAGACCAUAUGUGAUAAUAGAAGGGGAAUUUUAUAAACAUGGAGUCUGUUCCCAACUCCUCAAGUGUUUAUCAAGAGCUGAAGGUAUUGAAUUAAUGAAAGAGAUACACGCAGGUCUGUGUGGAUCUCACAUUGGGUCUAGGCCCUUGCUGGGAAAAGUUUUUCGACAAGGAUUUUACUAGCCGAAGGCAGCUUUGGAUGCAGCAGAGCUAGUCCAAAAAUGUGAAGGCUAUCAAAAAUGUGCAAGAGACCAGAAGCAACCUUCAUCUCUCACUCAGUUAAUACAACCCACUUGGCCGUUGCAAAGAUGGGGCCUCGAUUUGCUAGGCCCACUUCCACCAACACAAGGAAAUUUAAAAUAUGUUGUGGUGGCGGUAGAAUAUUUUUCUAAGUGGAUUGAGGCGAAGCCUUUGGCCACAAUAACUUCGGUCACAGUCCAGAAAUUCUUCUGGCAAAACAUUGUUUGUCGCUUCGGCGUGCCGAAGGCUAUCACUGUAGACAAUGGAACACAGUUUGAUGCCGAAGCUUUCAAGGAAUUCUGUGAUAAGAUUGGCACGAAGAUUCAUUUUGCAUCAGUUAGACAUCCAGAGUCAAAUGGACUUGUCGAAAGUGCAAAUGGCAUUAUAAUGACGGGAAUAAUGAAGUUAAUCUUCAAUCAGUCCAGAGGAAAGUGGCCAGAUGAGUUGAUUAAAGUGGUGUGGAGUCACAACACAACAAUAUCAAGAUCAACAUGUUUUACACCAUUCAAGUUAUUGUUUGGUGACGAAGCUAUAACCCCAAAAGAAGCUAAGGCAGGGUCAAUUAGAAUAGUAGCUUCGACAGAGGACGAAGCUGAUUAUUCUGUGAUAAAAGAUGCCAUAGAAGGGACCAGACUUCAGGUUGUAGAGAAUAUCAAUAAAUACCAAGCCGAAACAAUAAAAUGGCGCGACAGAAAAGUUCAGCUAAAAAACAUUAAGCCAGGGCAUUUGGUACUUCGGAGAAUGGCCAAUCUAGACAUAGUAGGCAAGUUACAGCUGAAGUGGGAAGGACCCUUUCUGGUGGUAUCUUCGUCAAGACCCGGUUCUUACAGAUUGAAGGAUAUGGACGACAACGACAUUCCUAGAUCUUGGAAUGCGGAUGAGCUUCGGCGAUAUUAUGUGUAACUUGAUGUAAUCUUUUUCAUUUUUCCUAUGGCACCCUUUUCCUUUCCAAAGGAGGAGAAAGGUUUUUAAUGGGGCCAUAGUUUGUAAUUUUUCUUCUCUUAUUCAGCUCUACGAGAGCAAAAUCCCCCAAAAUAUGUAAAUGUAAAAUCUGAGCAUGCACCAUCGAGUGCAGAGAAAAAGGAAAAAAACAGGGAGAAGCUCGAAAGUCGUCCCUAAGGGGAUGCAGAGCACGACGAAGCUACAAAAAAGCCGUUCCUAAGGGAGCGCAACGUAAGUUUUCUGCUCAAAAGUCGUUCCUAAGGGAAUGCAGAGCUAAAUACCGCCGAAAUAUAAGGCGAAGCGCGAAAAGUCAACACAAAUACCACCGAAAUAGAAGGCGAAGAAGUUCAAAAGACGUUCCUAAGGGGAUGCAGAACUUACACCGAAAAAUAAGCGACGAAGCCGAAAAAUAAGCGGCAAAGAGACUUCAGUCAUUCCUAAGGGAAUGAAUGUUAUGAUUGUGGCUUCGUAUGUGUGUGUUUGGACAUUCAUUUGCACGUCACAUUACAUCAUACAUUGCAUUCAUAAACAUUCAUUUAGACAUACAUAGGAUCAUCAUCAUCAUAUCAUACAGACACAGGCAGAUGCUUCGGCUAUAAGGAUAAGGCUUCGACAACAAGAAAAGAAGCAGUUUCAUGCUUCGUUGUGUACGAAAAGAAGGGAAGGUGUUUUUCGCCUUCGGCUCAAAAAAUACAAGUUUCGUCCACAUCAAAGCAGUUCAUACAUGGACGAAAAGGUAGAAAUAUAUUACAAGGUAUGGACAAAUUUUACAGAAUAAGUAUCUGAUUCUUAAAUUACAAUAUUUUUUACAAGGAUAAUACAAGAUUUUUUCUAGAGUUUUUUCGCAGCAAGGUCUUCAGCUUCAUCAUCAUUAAGCUUCUGAUCAUCUGUCAAGCUUCGGCUCACUGUUCCUCAGCUUCGUCAUCCUGUACAUAUCAAAGCGGUAUGAGAAAAGUGCAAGUUUCAAGGAGAAGGUAAAGAAACAGACACAAAUUUCUUACCGGCUUAAGGUGGCUUCGAGCUUCGUCGCAAGCCAUGUUUCGCCCGCCCUUCGUCUAGAUUUGCGUUAUGAAUCUAUUUCCUAUGCUUCGAGCCAGACUGGGGAUAUCAGUUAAAUCUGCCGGUGAUAAGCUGAAGUUUGGUCUAUUAACAAUUUUCCCAUGCGUGCAACCAGAUUUCAUGAAGGCAACAACUAUGCCUCGAGAAGCUAGUAGGUCAUCAAGAGCAUCAACUUCACCCUCAAUGUGUUUGAAGGUCCCUGGCAGGUCUUCAACCGAAGGAUUGAAUUUCUCAGAGCUGGCUCCAACCGAGUUGAAAACCUGCUUUAGCCACUUCACGCAUCGGUUGCUGAAGUCUAGACAUUUAUCUUAAAGCUCUUUCAGUGAUUUCUGCAAAUUUGAACUCUUUUCGACUUCAGCCUCAAACUUCGCAUCAAAUUUCUGCUUUUCUUGUUCGAAGCUUUCCGACUUUGAGAGGAGUUCACUAUUCAAUUUGGCAAUUUUGGCUUCAGCUUCUGCCAGUAAACCCUCCACUGUUUGAAGUUCGAAAUCUUUCUUUUCAAGAGCUGCUGCAUGAUCUUUUAUUUUGCUCUCUAAACCUUCAAUUAUAACCUCAUGUUUUUUGUCUUCAAGGUCAAGUUGCAUCUUCAAAGCUUUACUUAAUAGCAUACUCUAUGCAAGAACAACCUUUGUCAGAAAAUCCUUUGUCGUUAAAACAAUGAAAAGCCGAAGAAAAGUUUUUACCUUGAAAUUAGAAUAGAACAAACUACCGACGAUAUGCUAUCGUCGGUAGCGGCUGAUAUCGGCCUCAAGCUUCGGGAAACCAAUGCCGCCGAAGAGCAGCGCUCCUGGUUUGUAACCACAGGAUAUAGCAUAAUCUUUCAACUCUUCUUUCUCAGCUUCAGAUAACUCCUGACCAAUUAUGUUUUGGAAAUCGAAGUCCUUUUCCUCCGAAGUAUCUUCGGCUUUCUCCUUUUCUUUUCCAGGCACUGUGGCCAGGGUCUCUUCAGCAGCUGUAGCAGCUUCUUCCGCGGCCAUAUUCAGGAGCAUUUUAUCAAUAUCAGAAAAUGUGCUCUCCAGAUUUGUAGCUUCGGUAGUUUCAGCUUCGGCAGUUCCAGCUUCGGUGGGUGCAGCUUCGGCAGCAGUAGCGCUCUCGACAGCUAGUGUUUUUGACGCCAAGGCCGGCGGCGGUGUUUCUUCAAUGGCUUCAAUCACAUGAAUAAUUCUCCGUUUUUUGGCCUAGCAGGCUUCUUCGCUGCCGAGGGCUCCUUUUCCUUCUAUAAAAGCUUCGUCAGAUGUGGCCCCAGUGGGCUUAGCUUGAUAGGCAAGGAUUCAGUCAUUUCCUUUAGAAUUUCUUCCACGUUGGCAGCAGAAGGUGUUGAAGGAGUCUCUUCUUCUAUAUCUGUCGCCUUCUGCUUCGAAGCCGCAUCUUUCCUUUUCUUCGGAGCAACUGCCUUCGGCUCAGGGCUCAAUUUUCUCUUCUUCAGAAUUUCUUCAUCUUCUUUAACCACUCUAGCAGCUUGUCUACCCACAACACUAACAAUUCUUUCCUUUUUUUUGCCCUUCAGCGCCGUUGCUCAAUUGCUCAUAGUCAGGAUAUUCAAAAUUCAGGGCAUCCAUUACCCGAUUCAAUCUUCUCUUCGGACGGGCGCCGAAGGCUGCAGUCAUCAACUGAUCUUCUUUUUUUGUAUAAUUGCCCAGGAUCUCAUUGCACAUAACUUCAAUUGUAUCUAACCAUUCUUGGCAGGGUUCUUUGAAGUGUUUCUUGAACUUAAAAUGAUAGGGCAGCCGAACGAGUUCAUUCUUCCUCUUCUCUCCUUUAAGCUUCGGCAUACCCCAUUCCCUUAGCGUUGGAAAUACUCUGUUGGCUAAGUAUUCCUUAACUAAAUCUCUAGUACCAAUAUGUUCAGAUACAAUUCUAAAUUCGCCCACAACAUCUGGGCAUGGUGCCCCCGGCAUCAUGUUGCACUGAGGCCUAGUCAACCCGAAGGUUAGUUCCAGCGGGCUUUGAACUAGCUUCUCCUUUUGCUCAUCUAUCUUAACAUAGAACCAUUCAGACUUCCAACCGGUUGGCCACUUAGUGCGGUAGCUAACCACCAAUGUCUUCAUGUCCUUGCGGUACGCAAAAUUAUAAUAGUCGAAGUUCUUGUACAGUCCAUCCUUCCUAGCCUUCGUCUGAUAGUGAAGUUCGUGUACUCGGCAGAAGGCUUCGGCAAGCGGCUCGGCUCCUUGGCUUCGGAGAGCCCAGAUAAACACGCUGAGCCUAACGAUAGCGUUAGGAGUCAGCUAAUGAAGAUAAAUCUCAAAAUUUUCUAGCACAUCUGCAAUCAUUCCGUGCAGAGGAAACCUCGACCCUGCUUUGAAGAAGCUCUUAAAAACUACCACUUCAUCACUUUCUGGUUUCAGGAUAGUCUCUUCCCCGCCAAACCGAAUCAACUUCUUCUCGGCUUCACCGAAGUAGCCUAGCUUCGUCAUCAUGGUCAUGUCGGCUUCGGACAUAGUCGACUUCCCAAAAUCCAAAUGGCUGGGCUUGGAUGGCACAGCAGUGUUAUAAUCAAUCUCUUCUUCACCAAUAUCGCCCUCUUCAAUAUCUGCCUGCUCGGCUUCAGUAGCAGGUGCACCUUCGUCAGAACCGCCCUCCGUCACAACCAGUCCCGACCGCCUCAUAACUUCGGAAAUUGGCACAGUCUCAGUAGGUUUGGUCUCCUCUUCGUCACGGGUUAUCCUAGCUGUCGAGCGCACCCUGGCCAUUUGAUGCUGAAUUUCUUGCGCUUAGGCAAAGUUGAAUGUUUUUUGUUUAUUCUGAAGCUCUCUCUCUUGUGACGAAGCUAAAGCAAAACGAUGCUUCGAUUGAGAAUAUGGUGAAUGAGCUUCGACUCUGGUCAAAUUUUUCGGCAGCACAACAGAACAAUGGCAGUAAAUGCUGUGGUAACUUCACACCUACCCCGUCUGUUUAUAUAGUGCUGCAGGUGGGAAGGCGAAUCGUCAAGCCGCCCGCACCCGCCGAACAGUCGCCCGCACCCACUGAACGGUGGACCAUAGUGCCCAAGAAGAUGAAUCACUAGAUCGCGCGUACCCGUUGUAUGGUGGGACUACCUUUCACUCGGAAUAUUUAAAUUGUUUCUCGACAAUGAGCUAAGGGAAGGUGUUUUUCAGACCUUCGGCAUUCCGAAGCCUGAGAGAGUUUUUCACGGGUCGAGCUCGUUAUGAAAAACGAUCUGGCACCGUGAAGGGGCUACUGUUGGGGGUCUGCUUCGUCACCGAAGGUCCCAUAAGAAGAAAUACCUUCGAAAGAUGGACACAAAGCCGAAGCUAUCAAUCAAAGAGCUUCAGAGUAUAUUUCCAGAUGCACCGACUUAAAGAUGAAAUGACCAAUCAGCCCAUGAUAACUUGUAUUAUGAUUGUAAUCAUUUGUAAAGGGCACGAAUGUAAUCUCUCACAGGCUGCGUCCUGUGCCUAUAAAUAGAUGAACAGUACCCCUGUACUGUUCACGCGAUCUUGUACUCGGUCGUGCGCAACGCUCGGAUUUUCGCCUUCUGUCAAACCGAAGGUACAAAUGUAAUUAAAAUAUUGUCUUUAUAUUUAUCCAAGUUUACAUAAUGAAGAUAUAUGGAUGAUGUUAUAUGAUUAUUCACAUUAUCUUUCAUGUUUCGUAUGCUUUGUCUUUCAUUAAUGUAUACCGUGAUGAUGAAGGUACGUCCUUCAUGACCUUCGUCCGAAGAUCGUUAUAUCCUAAGGGAAAUAAUGCUUCGAAGGACGAAGGACAUUAACAUUUAAUACUUCGUGUUGCCUUGUUCUUAACUCAUAGCAUUUUAGAACAAGUCCCCAACGGGACCAAAGUGCAUAUACCAAAGUGGUAGGGUAACAAAAACUAAGAAACUUUUAUAUUUGGAGAUUUACAAGUUUUGUGGAACAAAUAGGAGUAAAUUGCAAAAGAUCUGAAAAGCACCCCUAUACUUAACCCUGAAAUAUAGAGUCAACUAGCCAAGUUUAAGCCCUUAUAUCUCCUGAUCUAUGAGGGUUUUGUCAUGAGUCACCACAGAAAAUUGUAGAGCUAUUAUAGUAGUUCAAGUUUGAUUAAGUGAUCUAGCCCAAAAAUGGUACAUAAAUUGGAGCAAAAUGGCCUAGAAGUUGGGCUAUCAGUUGAGUUCCAAGCUGAAGACCAAACUGACAGUGGCGUCUGCCUAACUUUGGAGCCAAUUUGUGCUUGAUCUUCCAAUGACCGAAUUGAAGCUGGUAUAUAGGGCAACAAGUUUGAUGUAGCCAGCUUAGUGGUUCAUCACAUGAAAAUAAGAGAAUAAAGCUUCUCAGGUUGCUUUGUCAGGUCACUGAAUGGGGCUGGCGAUGGUACAAUAAAUGAAGAAGAUCAAAACUUCAAAGGGUUUCACCGCUGAUGAUCGUGUGUCGUGAUCCGCGCAGUGGUUGCGAUGUGUGCACGCAGUAACGUGCAAAUAUCGGUGUGGGGAGUGAAAAGAUCACCGAGGUGGUGAACUUGGCCCUGAAGCGAGUCUGCCGUACCCACUUGCCGGCGACGUGGCCGCAUGGCCGUAACCGUGGUGGCCACCGUUACCCCAGGUGCGCCACGCUACCGACCAUUUUACCACGUCUCAGAGAGUCGUGUGAGAUGGUUAGUUACCACGCCGGGACUCUACCUCUGUAAACGCCACGUCUGGAGAACUCCGGUGACUCACCUUCUUUCUGGCCGUGAGAUCAUCUCAUCCCAAAUUCACGAAGCACUCGAGUGGUCACUAUAAUUGAAGGCCCUCCCUGCUCCGUCUUCUUGUUACACGCCCAGUGCACCACUCCUCUCCUCAAUCCCUCCACCGUAGCCCGAGGAAUAGGAAUUUCCCCCAAAUCAAUCAUCUGCGCCACCACGAGGCAUCUCGCCGUGGCCAGAGCCCUCUAAGGUAACUAUGUUCGGGCUAGAGAGUGUUUUGAGUUCUCUUACAUGUCGCGAUGCUCAUCGACCCGCUCGAUUGAACUCUACCACAACCGGAACCCCGGAACACUGUGUCGCCACCAUGGAAUGCCACUGUGGACAGUCCCUCCGUUGACUCCCUGCUCUGUCCUUUCACCCAUCUUCCUGACCAUCGUCCUUCAGUCUGGGUGAGUUACUGAAGCUUAUCGUACUCUCACUUUGAACGCUACCACGCUGUUGUUGGAACUUGCUCUCAACUCCCAAGGGGGGCCAACAAGGGUGAACAAUGACGUUAACAGGGUUACGUCCUAGAUGGCAAUAGCUCUGUUAAUCUGCCCUCUCACGGGCACUGUGCGGGGGUAUUUAUAGGUACCUGAGCGCCCAGCGCCUUGUGCUAAGGACGCAUGUGCCCUCAGCUACCUAGGUUAUCCCCAGAAUAUUCCCAUAAAGCGAGGUUACAGACUGUAAUUACAGGGAUGCCUUUACAAAUUAGGCCCGUAACGCGCGGCGGCCACGCAGGGCCCGUUACAAUGGGCCGGAUCACACGUGGGCCUUUGAGCUGGACGAGGCCGCACUGUGGGAUGACGUCGUCGCAGGUCUUCGUCUGGCGCCGAACCAGCGAAGGGUGUCCCUGCCCGUUUUGUCUUUGUCAGACCAGCGGCUGCAGCGAAGGCUUCUAGCGAAGGGUGGCGUCUUUGCCUUCGCCCCGACAUUUGCCCUCCGAGGGAUCAGUUCGACAAAGUCACCUGGUGCCGAAGACGUCACUAGAUGUCGGAGACGCUGCCCUCGCUCGAAGUGGUUCCGCGGGGGUUUUUGAUAUGACCGUUGAUUGACAGCGUACUGUUGGAUUGCGGGUUUCCCGAGGCACCGCGCCCUGUUGGAUUGCGGGUUUCCCGAAGAGCCGCGCCCUGUCUAUAAAAGGGGGUGGGGGUCGGCGCUUUUUGAACUUCACUUUCCGCGCUCCGUGAAAACCCUAGCCGCCUUUUUCGCCGUCUUGCUGCUCGUCUGCCCGUCGUGCUCUUGUUCACCGGAGAUCUGGCUCGAGUGAAGCAGACCGUCCGCCGCCGCCGACGGUACGUAGCGAUGCUGACCUCCUCUUCUUCCACUGCCGCUACGCCGCCGGCCGACCCCUCGCCACCGGCCGCCGCCUCGCCGCCGACCGACGCCUCGUCUGAGGAGAUGCAGAGUAGUUUGAUGGCGGAGGAGUUGCGCGCCGGCGAUUCUGUUGAUUUUGGCGUGUCGCGGAUGUCGUCGGUCCGCGUGCAAGAUAUGCAGCGGUUGGGUUACUUUGGCGGCGGAGUUGCUCGUGUCCCGGGGGCGGAGGAAGUCCCAGUGCCGGAGGGCAAGUUGGUUGUGUUCGAGGCAUUCUUCGCCGCCGGUCUCCGCCUGCCUGCGCACCGAUUUGUUGGCGAAGUCCUGCGCAGGUUCAACGUUCAGAUACAUCAGCUGACACCGAAUGCCGUGGUGGCUCUAUCGAAGUAUGUCUGGGCGACGACUUCGUACGGCGGACAGCCAUCGGUCGAAGUUUUUGCGAAGUAUUAUUAUUUGCACUGGCAGAAGAGGAUGAUUGGGGACGAAGUUGCUCAGUUUGGGUCCUCCACGUUCACGCCGAAGACCGGCAAGACCACGAUGCAGGUAGUCGAGUUGGUUCCUUGCGCCCGCAACAAGUGGGGCAACUGGAAUGAGUUUUGGUUUUAUGUUGCUGAGGGUACCGUCGAAGGCCAUGAGGGACUCCCCGUGUCCGAGAUGUGUUCUCAUUUUUACUCAGCGUACCCGCCCUUUGAAGUGGCGGAGGAGGAUGCAGACGAGGGGGCCCUUCGGUGUGCCGCCGGCCUGAGGAGUGGGCGCAAUUUGGUUGAAGAAUUUGUGGCGUACGGGGUAUGGCCCUUGGCGCAUGGCUGGGCAUUGGGCGAAGUGUGCCCUCGCCAGAUGCCUUUCCAUGGUGGUAGGGUGGUGCGAAGUCCCGCCUUCGCGCUGAAUUUGCAAAGCCGCGAUCCGGCCGCCUUUGUGCGUGAGGCGGAGGAUGGGGCGGUGCGGCUCGUUGGACGUUACGUGCCGAGGACAGAGGGCCAGCACAGCUGGGAUAUCCGCGGGUCAAAUGACCGUUUGAACAGGGUUUUUGAAUUAAAUCAAUUGUCGUAUGACGACUAUCCUGGUCAAGACGAUGCGGACCGCCAUGGGAAGAAGCCGGUGGUGGAGACUAGAGACGACCCUGCGCCGGCGGCCGCCCUUUCCUCUAAAAAGAGAAAAUUAGGUACUGCUAUGGGAAGACUUGGGGUUUCUGAUGGUUUUGCUAGAGAGUUGAUGAGGACAUGCGCGGCCCCGGGGGGAAGGAUGGCUUCGCCCGAGCUCCGGGAGUCUUCGGCUCGGAUGCUGAGGGUUACCGGGGGUUGCUGGCCUAGGAAUGUUCCUAUCCCCGCGCGGCCGGCGAAGACUUUUUUACAUCUCGCAUGGUUCGUGAAUGGAGAGUUUUUCCUUACGGGCGGAAUAUUGCUGCUGUUGUGUCAGCAGUGAUGGACAAGGAUCGCCAGGGGGCUGCGCAAAAACGCCAGGCGGUUGUCAGGCUUGUUGAAGCCAGGCCGAAGAAGCCGCGGGGGGCUGCGAAGGCUGCGGCCCCCGGCGGAGGCAAGCCGCCGCUGGCGGCGAAGUCGGGCGCUCCUGCAUCUAGCAAGGCGCCGGAGGCUCCAAAUCGACGAAGGCUGUGCCGCCGUCCAGCGGAGUGCCGGAGGUCGCGAAGGCGGCCCGAGCGUUGCCGUCGGCAGGCAAGCGUGUCGCCGACUUCGCCACCGAUAUUAGUGUGGACUACUAUCUUGGUGGUAAGUCGUUGGCUCUCUCUUUUUUUUAAUUUAAUUGUUCGUUGAUACAUCACAGGGUCGGACGAAGGCCAACUUGCUAUAGUUGCGCCUGCCACGGCGACCACGACGGCUGCCGCAGUGCCGAAAGCGAAGGGCGGGGCUCUUAGCGCUGGAGGCGAGGUGCUGGCCCUCGCGGCUGUCAGAGAUGAGGCGGGCGCUACGUCCCGCCGGCUGAAGGAGGUGAUGGAGGCGCUAAGUCAGGUCCGCCGAGCUAGACUUCGUCUUUUUUUUUCGGCUUGCUGGGGCCGCGGUCUUAUGUGUGUUCUGCAGGUGGCUGACUUCGCCAACCGCACAGCGUCGGGGGCCCUCACAGCAGUUGUGUCUGCCGAAGUCGAGAGACUUCGGACACAACAUGCUGACGCCGUCCGAGAGAAAUCGGCCGCCGACAGCAAGUGCCGCAAGCUGGCGGACAAGGUGGCCGCGCUGGAGGGAGAGAAGGCUGACCUCCAGCGCCAAUUGGCGGGGGAGAGGAGGGAGACCAAUGAGGCCCUCGUCAAGGCGCAGGCUGCGCAGGCGGAGGCCAAUCUGGCACAGGCGGAGGGCAAUCUUGCCAGGGAGCGCGCCGAGCAGCUGCAGGAGCGGCUCAUCGCCCUGGAGAGCCGCGUGGAGCGGGCCGAGGCCGCGACGCGCGCGGAGGCCGAACGGACGCGCACACAGCUUAUGGAUACAUACCGUGAGCUGGGUGCGCGGACCGGUGACUUCGAAGUGCCGGACCGAGAGCCCGGACUUCGCUGUCUGGAAUGGGUGCAGGAGGAGCUGCAGGCACUCCCCACUGUCGUGGAGGGGUUUAUGUCGUACGCCUCCCUGGUCACCUGCGAGGGGGCGAUGAACGCGCUCUCCCGCGAAGGGUGCCGGCACUUCGAGGUCUUCGACCAGGCCGAUGAAGAUUUUGAGCGAGAUAUCUAUAAGGUUGAAGACCCCGUAGUGAAGGAAUCCGCCGGGGCCAUCUACGACCUGAUGUGGGGUCCGCACGGUCGCGAGGUGGUCAGGGAGCGCGCCGAGACGGCGAGGGCUCAGGUAACGUUUUCGUGUGUUUGGCGUUUGCUGGAAGUGGGCUGUGUGUGGGUUUGCUGAAUUUUGUGUGUUGUGUCUUAGGCGGCGCGUGGCGAGAGGGUGGACGACUUCGGGGCGUUGAACAGCGCGCCGCCUGAGCCGGAGCCGACCCCAGCGGAGGCCGUGUCCGGGGCCGCCCUGGAGCCACCCCCGGAGAUCGCAGAAGGCGCCCCGGAUGCCUCCGCAUCUGCUGCGGCCGGCGGAGACUUGCCCGCAGAGACCGCUGAAGGCGCUCCUGAUGCCCCCGCAGCCGCUGCGCCGAGUGCUGAAGAUCCUGCGACGGUGGCGGUGGAGGCGACGGCGGAGGCAACGGCGGAGGCAGCGGCGGAGGCUCCGCAGGUGGCGUAGUGGGUGUAGAUAGUUUAGGGAAUUUUGGAUAUGUUGCUGAAUUUUGGUUGCUGCGCAGGUUCAAGAUUUUGGGCCUGCGCACGCAACCGCCACUACUAAAUUUUUGGCGGCUUCGACCGUGGAUGGUGGUAACGAAUGUGGUGGAUCUGCAUCUGAGUUUUAUGAUUUUGCUGACUCUGGGAGCUCAGUUGAGUGGACUGAGGAGUCGUUGGAGGAGGACUUGGACUACUUUGCGGCCUUGGAUGUGGCUGCGGCGGAGGCUUCACCGCACGCCGCGGACACGGAAGAUGUGCCUGGUCCUAGCACUGGGCGCCGGCGACGAAGGGCGGUCGCGAAGCGUAGAGUUAGUGGGGCGGAGGGGGGUCGGCUUCGUGUGAGUAGGGCUGGCCGGCAGGAACUGUUGUCUUUGCCGGCCGCCGUGAGUACAUGUGAAGGGGAACUGCGAAGUCUUUUUGCGUGUGAGGAGCUUAGGAUAAUGUUAUUUAAUUAUAGGGAGAUGGGAAUUAUUCCUAAGGUUGAGCCAAUGUAGAGUGCGGUGCCCUCGCUUGUAUAUGUGUGAAGGCUUGUAUGAUGAGGUUGUGUGCCCUCGCUUGUAUGUGCCUGCGAAGGCGUUGUGUACUUGGUCUGGCAUGUUUUGUUAUGCUGUGAUGGUGCGCGUAUAGUCGGUCUCGGCGCGGAUGAUUUGAUGUUGUCGUUUCUGCCUUCGUUGUGCUAGUCCGGCUGCACCCUUAGGCGUCUUCUGCACGGAUAGUCUACGCGGUGGACUUCGGUUUCUUUGCACUUGUUGUGCUAGUCCGGCUGCACCCGUAGGCGACUUUUGCGCGGAUAGUCUUCGCGGUAGACUUCGGUUUUUUCGCACUUGUUGUGCUAGUCCGGCUGCACCCGUAGGCGACUUCUGCGCGGAUGGUCUUCGCGGUAGACUUCGGUUUUUUCGCACUUGUUGUGCUAGUCCGGCUGCACCCGUAGGCGACUUCUGCGCGGAUGGUCUUCGCGGUAGACUUCGGUUUUUUCGCACUUAUUGUGCUAGUCCGGCUGCACCCGUGGGCGACUUCUGCGUGGAUAGUCUUCGCGGUAGACUUCGGUUUUUUCGCACUUAUUGUGCUAGUCCGGCUGCACCCGUGGGCGACUUCUGCGCGGAUAGUCUUCGCGGUAGACUUCGGUUUUUUCCGGCUGCACCCUUAGGCGACUUUUGCGCGGAUUUGUCGCACGCGAGGGUGGCUAGCUGUAACACCCGGAUUUUAGGGGUCCAAAACCCGGGCGCUAACAUAAACACCAGGUAUGCUGGGACCAAGUCUCACACAUAUGAUGUAAAGUGGCACAGGAUCGAAUGUCACAUCUUUAUAUAUAACAGGAGUUCUAUACAAAAUAAAUAAUUACAUUAUAAGGAGACAACGGUCCAGCAACCCAAAGUUGACUGGGAGACGACGACCUAGACCACUCACGAACUCAUCGCAGCAUCUUCCAUGAGCAUCAUCCUGCAGUACCUGGUCUUGACCUGUGGUGUAUGUGAGACAGCAAGAGUGAGCUCACAUACGUUCAUCGCUCAACAAGUUGUGGGGAAUAAUGUGCAUGAACUCGCCAAAGGUGGGAGCUCACGUGAAGUGUAAGGCUUACCAAAGAGGAUGGUUAGAGCUGAGCAUUGCUUUUAAAGUUGGUCAAAAUUUUAUUAGCAAUUACUAAGUAUAAGUAAAUACCAACCCAAUUAAGUAGUAGAACAAAAGUAACAACAUCACCUGUACAACAUCACCUGCGAUGCAAUGCAUAUGACAAAUUGAGUUUAAUUCCAUAAUUUAAUCAUGUGAGUGUCCGAGCCGCUCAUGACCGUGAGCACGGCUAGUAUACCAGUUUUACACUCUGCAGAGGUUGCGCAUCUUUACCCACAAGUCAUGUUACCCAUCUGCCAAGGGAUCGCGACUUCCCAUACACCUCUACCGAGGAGGCGAGGCAGGGUAACACUACGAGGCCUUUACAAAGUUCCACUAGCUUCAGAAAACCCGCUACAGUUUAUAGGAAGCUCCAAUGCAGGAAUCCCUUGCAGGACCGCCAUCACAGCAAAAUCCUCCCGAGGGCCUCCCCAGGAAUCCCUUGCAGGACCGCCAUCACAGCGAAAUCCUCCCGAGGGCCUCCCCAGGAAUCCCUUGCAGGACCGCCAUCACAGCAAAAUCCUCCCGAGGGCCUCCCUACACUGACCACUCCCCUACUGCCCUUGCCCCUUUCAGGUAAGGUAGUCUUCCACUAGCUUUCCUAAUUAAUCGGCCAAGGGCGUCCCAUUAAACCCUUGUGGUAGCACUGUUUUCCCGGGUGGUUCUCCAUGUUCCAAUUAACAUAAUGAUCUUAUCAUGAACAGUGAUAAUAAACAGAUAAUAAAAGUGUGAUCAUGAAUAAUGUAUCUUCAUACCCAAAACCACAUAAAGCACUAGCAAGUACUACCCAAAAAGUUCAGUGGUAAACAAGGUAUAAAGAUAGACAAACUAGGGUAACCUAUUGGGUCCCAUCAAAAUUAACCUAUGCAGAUCAUUAUGAUUAAUCAGAACAUGAGUAGGUAAAAAGAAGUGAUCAAGGGCACAACUUGCCUGGGACUUGAGAUUCCAGGUACCAGGAUGAUCUUCAGAUUCUCGUGACCUCACUGCUAAUCGUAGCAAUACAAACAAACAUGGUAUAGACAAAAUUAACAUCCCACCAUACAUAAGAAUAAACUGAAUGAUAGUAAUCUACGCGUCGCUACAAGAUCGUGGGUUCAAGAACCGCUAAAUUCGGGGUUAGGGUCAUGAAGUUAUGGUUUUUCGAAAAUCCACGUGGUUAAAUAUAGAAUAGAUUAAGUGCAACAUUUUAACCUAUAUUUCAUGACAAAACAAAGUCACCAGAUGAUAAUAAAUAUUAUUGUGAGACUAAUGCAACUAGAAUAGAUCAAAACGGAGUUAGAAUGAAUUAAAUAUGAAUUAAACAAGUUUAUGGAUUUAUUUUUAUACUAAAAACCUAUUUUCUUUAUUAAAUUCUGAAUUUCCUAGCGGUUCUGGACUGUGCACAAUAUUUCUUAAGAGAUCAGGGGCUAACUCGCAAUUUCGCCCAAGACUCAGACUAACUCUUAAGUGGACGGCGGCUUUAUUCUACAGAACAGCAAGGGUUUAUUUGCAAAUAGCGCAUGGUGAAGGGGUACGGGUAAACCCCAGCCGCCAGAUCUUAAUCCGAGGGCCCAAAAACCACAUAAUCGAAAGGGUUUCAGCCAUUUUAAUCACAGCCAUCCGCGGCUGGAUCAACGGAUCAGAUUGGGCGAUAAAACUCUACGCCCAGGAUGUAAUCCACACCUUCGAUUUCGUCAUCCACGAUCAGUACACCUUCUUCUAUCUCUCGUGGGAAAACUGGGCAGCGGCGCCCGGUACCUGCGCUGACCACGGCGGCGCCAUUGCCGCAGCGCCCAGCACCCGACCUGAGCUACGAUUCCUUGAUCCUAUCGGUGCUACGCCUAGCGAAGGUUGAAGCGAGUUUGUAGAAGAGGAUUUAGCGGAGGGUUUCUCACCGUGAGUCGUGCGCACCGAGGCUCGGUCCCCAUCAGAGUUGCGGCAUCGCGGCAAGAGAUUCCCCAUGGUCCGAGGCUGACCUCGUCGAAUUGGGGUCUCGCAAAGCCUGCCCACAAUCCCACCAACUGGUCCAUGAACACUGAGCACCGAUGAAGGUUCGUGCCCAUGGCGGCGGCAUCCAUUCCGUCCAACCAUACGACGCGUCAGGAAGAGGCUAGUCUGGCCAUGCAGCACGGCGAGUCUGCGGUGGCGAUCUGUCUGUUUCUCUCUCGUUGUUUCCCUCCUCUCUUUGUUUACUAUGGCUCUUGGAUCGGCUCCAAAUCCAGCGUCAAUUGAUGGCGUAUUUACGGAAGGUGUACAGGUGCCAAUAUUUAUAUGCACGUUAAUUUUGCCAGUAACAGAAACCGAGUCUCGCGGGGGAUUUUAUUUUUUCGGUUUGUCACGGCGUCGAGAUGCAUGAAGAGCUGCUGUUGCAACGGCCCGCGAACUAUACGAUGAUUGUGUCCAAGUUUGUUACAGGCGCGGUAGAAGCUGGUUCAACUAUAGCGGCCCCACGAGUCAUUGAAACGCAGCAUGCAUUAUAGCGAGGAACGACCAGCAUGCAUAGCCUAGAGAAACGGGAGCAGUUUCCCCUGCGGCCCACACGUCAUUGAGAUAUUAAUGACGUCAUAUAUGUGCAAGCGUGAUGCAAGCAUCCGGCUAACUAAUAAAAUAAUAAUAAAAAAACUAGAGAAGAGAUGUGGGCUACGUGCAUUUGGAAAGGGCUAGGCCGAGCGUGUCUUGAGCCUACGGUAGAGAGAGGUAAGGCUUUUUUUCUCCUUUUUGUUUUAUGUUUUUUUUUUAUUUUCAGUUUGUUUCCGUUCUCCGAUUCAAAUUUAAACAUGAGUCUGAAUUCUCAUACUUUUUAUUAAAUACACGAGCAAGAAUCCCAGCAUGAUGAAAAAGUACAAUUGUAUCCAUUUAUUUAUUUUUAUCCUAUUUAAGCAAAUACUUCUAAUUAUGAAACCCAUACUCUCACAAAAAAAAACAUAUUUUGGGAAAAAGAAUUCUAGUGCAUAAAAUUACUUUUGGAGAGUACUUAUAAAUAUAUAUUCCAGUAAAGAGAUAAAUAGAUUCAUAUAGGAAUCCACUUUAUUCAAUAUUUUAUUAGAAAACAAUUCAAAUUUUAGGAGAAUUGGCUUAAGAGGUAGAAAAAUCCUUAUUACGAGAUAUUUUAAUUCGAAAUUCUUGGAGAUUUUUCCUUGAUCUCAAAUCUAUGAUUUUGGGUUAUUACAAAUUCUACCCCCCUUAAAAAUAAUCUCGUCCUCGAGAUUAGUAAGAAAAGGGAUAUACAAAGAUUGUUUUGUAAUUGAGAUUCUAGUUUCUAAUUGGUUCAAUAUGAAGAGUUUUUUUUUCUUUAAUUAGUAGGUUAUUAGAAAAGCAUGGGUAUCUUUUAUGUGUAGCCACCCAAUUAUGUAGGAUAAAAGAUGGGUAGGUUAGGGCAAGAAUAGUUUGUGAUGAGAAAGAUUAUGGUGAGGAAAGGUUUUCAUCACGAAUGGUGGGUCUUGUCUCAUUUGGAGAUCCGGAUUGGCUCUUAUCCUUCCUUGAUGACAUUGAUGUCUUCCUUCUCUGGUCUUGGUCUAAUUGAGUCGAGGUCAGUGUAUUUUAUCGGAGUUGGGGAAAUAUGGUGAAUAUAGAUAGGGGUGAGAUGGACUACAUGACGUAGGUGAGAAGUUUAUUUGAUGUUAAGUGAAAAUAGACAUAUUAUGCAAUCCAUCAUGACUCUAUUGGUUGGGUUAGCUCUACUUAAGGUUAGACUUUGUUAGGUUAGACUAAUCUAUCACAUUAGAUCAGAUCUAGGUUAGAUCGUUAUGACAAGAUAGACUAGAUAAGAUCUAUUUAAUUUAUUUUGGAUUAGAUCCUGAUUGUUACUUUAGGAUGAGAUAAGUAAAAUGGUUAGGAUAAGACAAAUCUUUCAAUAUAAGAUGGACCUAUCAAGAUAAGAGAGAAUCUUUUAAGAUAAGAUGGAUCUAUUAAAAUAUAUUCUAGUGGGGGCUAUUUUUAGUUGAUCUAAUAUAUCUAGUUUAAUAGAUCCAUUUUUAAUACGAAAUAUUAUGUGUUGUCUAUUUUAUAAAUAUUUUUUCCUUAUGUCUAGGUGUAUAUGCAGAUGCAAUUAUGGACAUUACUCCACAACCCAUCACACUCAAUCAAAGAUCCAAAUCAGACAAAUAUCAUAAGAACAAACAUUCAAGCAUACAAAUAUUUACAAAAAUAGUUUUGAUUUUGUCCCUAAGAUGAGGUCUCCUAUUCCUAAAAUCACUUUAGGCACAGGAUUUCAAAGUGUGAAAUCCACAUUUGUCUUUAGAAGGAAAAGGUAAGAAUAAUCAGAGUAAAGCAGAAAUAGAUGAGAAAAGAUUAAGAAAAGUUUAGAAAAGAAUCAGAGUAGCAAAGGUAAGUAGAGAAUGGGUGUCCAGUUCUAUCUAGGUUUCGUCCUACAGUCAACAUUCCUCUGAUACCACUUCUGUAACACCCGGAUUUUAGGGGUCCAAAACCCGGGCGCUAACAUAAACACCAGGUAUGCUGGGACCAAGUCUCACACAUAUGAUGUAAAGUGGCACAGGAUCGAAUGUCACAUCUUUAUAUAUAACAGGAGUUCUAUACAAAAUAAAUAAUUACAUUAUAAGGAGACAACGGUCCAGCAACCCAAAGUUGACUGGGAGACGACGACCUAGACCACUCACGAACUCAUCGCAGCAUCUUCCAUGAGCAUCAUCCUGCAGUACCUGGUCUUGACCUGUGGUGUAUGUGAGACAGCAAGAGUGAGCUCACAUACGUUCAUCGCUCAACAAGUUGUGGGGAAUAAUGUGCAUGAACUCGCCAAAGGUGGGAGCUCACGUGAAGUGUAAGGCUUACCAAAGAGGAUGGUUAGAGCUGAGCAUUGCUUUUAAAGUUGGUCAAAAUUUUAUUAGCAAUUACUAAGUAUAAGUAAAUACCAACCCAAUUAAGUAGUAGAACAAAAGUAACAACAUCACCUGUACAACAUCACCUGCGAUGCAAUGCAUAUGACAAAUUGAGUUUAAUUCCAUAAUUUAAUCAUGUGAGUGUCCGAGCCGCUCAUGACCGUGAGCACGGCUAGUAUACCAGUUUUACACUCUGCAGAGGUUGCGCAUCUUUACCCACAAGUCAUGUUACCCAUCUGCCAAGGGAUCGCGACUUCCCAUACACCUCUACCGAGGAGGCGAGGCAGGGUAACACUACGAGGCCUUUACAAAGUUCCACUAGCUUCAGAAAACCCGCUACAGUUUAUAGGAAGCUCCAAUGCAGGAAUCCCUUGCAGGACCGCCAUCACAGCAAAAUCCUCCCGAGGGCCUCCCCAGGAAUCCCUUGCAGGACCGCCAUCACAGCGAAAUCCUCCCGAGGGCCUCCCCAGGAAUCCCUUGCAGGACCGCCAUCACAGCAAAAUCCUCCCGAGGGCCUCCCUACACUGACCACUCCCCUACUGCCCUUGCCCCUUUCAGGUAAGGUAGUCUUCCACUAGCUUUCCUAAUUAAUCGGCCAAGGGCGUCCCAUUAAACCCUUGUGGUAGCACUGUUUUCCCGGGUGGUUCUCCAUGUUCCAAUUAACAUAAUGAUCUUAUCAUGAACAGUGAUAAUAAACAGAUAAUAAAAGUGUGAUCAUGAAUAAUGUAUCUUCAUACCCAAAACCACAUAAAGCACUAGCAAGUACUACCCAAAAAGUUCAGUGGUAAACAAGGUAUAAAGAUAGACAAACUAGGGUAACCUAUUGGGUCCCAUCAAAAUUAACCUAUGCAGAUCAUUAUGAUUAAUCAGAACAUGAGUAGGUAAAAAGAAGUGAUCAAGGGCACAACUUGCCUGGGACUUGAGAUUCCAGGUACCAGGAUGAUCUUCAGAUUCUCGUGACCUCACUGCUAAUCGUAGCAAUACAAACAAACAUGGUAUAGACAAAAUUAACAUCCCACCAUACAUAAGAAUAAACUGAAUGAUAGUAAUCUACGCGUCGCUACAAGAUCGUGGGUUCAAGAAUCGCUAAAUUCGGGGUUAGGGUCAUGAAGUUAUGGUUUUUCGAAAAUCCACGUGGUUAAAUAUAGAAUAGAUUAAGUGCAACAUUUUAACCUAUAUUUCAUGACAAAACAAAGUCACCAGAUGAUAAUAAAUAUUAUUGUGAGACUAAUGCAACUAGAAUAGAUCAAAACGGAGUUAGAAUGAAUUAAAUAUGAAUUAAACAAGUUUAUGGAUUUAUUUUUAUACUAAAAACCUAUUUUCUUUAUUAAAUUCUGAAUUUCCUAGCGGUUCUGGACUGUGCACAAUAUUUCUUAAGAGAUCAGGGGCUAACUCGCAAUUUCGCCCAAGACUCAGACUAACUCUUAAGUGGACGGCGGCUUUAUUCUACAGAACAGCAAGGGUUUAUUUGCAAAUAGCGCAUGGUGAAGGGGUACGGGUAAACCCCAGCCGCCAGAUCUUAAUCCGAGGGCCCAAAAACCACAUAAUCGAAAGGGUUUCAGCCAUUUUAAUCACAGCCAUCCGCGGCUGGAUCAACGGAUCAGAUUGGGCGAUAAAACUCUACGCCCAGGAUGUAAUCCACACCUUCGAUUUCGUCAUCCACGAUCAGUACACCUUCUUCUAUCUCUCGUGGGAAAACUGGGCAGCGGCGCCCGGUACCUGCGCUGACCACGGCGGCGCCAUUGCCGCAGCGCCCAGCACCCGACCUGAGCUACGAUUCCUUGAUCCUAUCGGUGCUACGCCUAGCGAAGGUUGAAGCGAGUUUGUAGAAGAGGAUUUAGCGGAGGGUUUCUCACCGUGAGUCGUGCGCACCGAGGCUCGGUCCCCAUCAGAGUUGCGGCAUCGCGGCAAGAGAUUCCCCAUGGUCCGAGGCUGACCUCGUCGAAUUGGGGUCUCGCAAAGCCUGCCCACAAUCCCACCAACUGGUCCAUGAACACUGAGCACCGAUGAAGGUUCGUGCCCAUGGCGGCGGCAUCCAUUCCGUCCAACCAUACGACGCGUCAGGAAGAGGCUAGUCUGGCCAUGCAGCACGGCGAGUCUGCGGUGGCGAUCUGUCUGUUUCUCUCUCGUUGUUUCCCUCCUCUCUUUGUUUACUAUGGCUCUUGGAUCGGCUCCAAAUCCAGCGUCAAUUGAUGGCGUAUUUACG